UACGUAAGAUGCAAGCGUUAUCCGGAAUCAUUGGGCGUAAAGCGUCUGUAGGCGGUAUGUUAAGUCGGGUAUUAAAUUCUAGGGCUCAACCCUGGAGCUGUAUCCGAAACUGGCAAACUAGAGGGUUAAAGGGGUAAGUGGAAUUCCCGGUGUAGGGGUAAAAUCCGUAGAUAUCGGGAGGAACACCAAAAGCGAAGGCAACUUACUGGAUUAACCCUGACGCUGAGAGACGAAAGCGUGGGUAGCAAACAGG
rnacentral:rRNA from 1 species